AACGUAGGUUCCGAGCGUUAUCCGGAUUUAUUGUGUUUAAAGGGUGCGUAGGCGGCCUAUUAAGUCAGGGGUGAAAGACGGUAGCUUAACUAUCGCAGUGCCUUUGAUACUGAUGGGCUUGAAUAUACUUGAGGUAGGCGGAAUGUGACAAGUAGCGGUGAAAUGCAUAGAUAUGUCACAGAACACCAAUUGCGAAGGCAGCUUACUAAAGUAUGAUUGACGCUGAGGCACGAAAGCGUGGGGAUCAAACAGG
rnacentral:rRNA from 1 species